ACACUUCAGGUCCACACCUGCCCUGCUCAUACACAUAAACAGAUGGAAAAGAGGACAGAGCCUGGACUACGGGAAUAGGUUUACAGCACGUUCCUGGGGUCCGAGCUCUGGGAACCCCGAGGCUCUGAGACAGUAGCUGCCCCUCAGAGCUCCCAAGUAGAGAACUUUCCAGGCUUUCCCAAACUAACCUCGGUGCCCCCUGGCUGGAAAUCUUCCUUUAGGGCUCAAUAUCCUACUUCCCUCUUGCAGCCAAACAGCUGUGAGGAGAGAAGAGGAGGAAGCGCCAGGGAGCCCAGAGCCACCAGACAGUGACUCCACAGAGCCACAGCCAUCACACCCGCACAGACACACACCGUCCUCUGCCGUUCAGGCCCGAGAGUCCCCUGAGGACUGGCGUCCCUACUACCGGCCUCCACUCUGUGAGCGCUUCCACUGCCACCCCACCUGGUUCACGUCGGGCUCCGAAUUGACUCGCUUCACAGGAUUCCCGCAUCCUGUGCUAAUACAUCCACAAAUGAGCUCAACUCACCCUGCAAAGAGGGAGAACCGCACGAAAACAGAAUGGAAGCCGAAGAUCUGGCGUGACCGCUGCCCUCUGGGAAGUGUCGCUCCAACCUGAACAUCUCCGGGCGCGGCGGCUCGUCAGAAAGGCCGCCGAAGCGCGGAAGUGCCGGGAGAACGGCAGCCGCGAGAACCGCCCGGAGCCCGGCCCCGAGCGCAGGAGUAAACACAUGGAAGAUGUCGUAGACAUACAGAAGGGAAUGCUGUGUGAGGUCGUAGCGAGGACUCUCCUCUUCAGACCAGGGCAGGGAACCCAGCACACCAGAGGGAUAUGGCACCUGCAUAACUGCUUCAGUG
ensembl:lncRNA